CUGAAAGAUGGUGAACUAUGCCUGGGUAGGGCAGAGACAAAGCAAACUCUGGUGGAGGUCUGUAGCAGUCUUGAUGUAAAAAUUGAUCAUCUGAUCUGUAUAUAGGGGUGAAAGAUUAGUUGAACCAACUAGUACCUG
rnacentral:ncRNA from 1 species